UUCGAGAGCUAGCGACAACGAUCCAGCUCGAUCUCGUCCUCCUGCUGCAGCCUGUACGUAUGCAAGCUCAGUGAUGCAUGCAUGCAUGAAUCGAUGGAUGAAUGAAUGAUUAGUGGCUGAUAUUAAUUAAUUAUUAGUAGUAUAGAUGGAUUAAUUGUGGCAAUCAUGCAUGAUCGAGCUCCUAAUUAAGUGGUGAAGGCAAUUGCAUGCAAAGU
rnacentral:lncRNA from 1 species